rnacentral:rRNA from 1 species
UACGUAGGGGGCAAGCGUUGUCCGGAAUCAUUGGGCGUAAAGCGCGUGUAGGCGGCCAGGUAAGUCCGUUCUGAAAGCCCGGGGCUCAACCCCGGGAGGCGGAUGGAUACUGCUUGGCUCGAGUCCGGAAGAGGCGAGUGGAAUUCCCGGUGUAGCGGUGAAAUGCGCAGAUAUCUGGAGGAAUACCGGUGGCGAAGGCGGCAUCCUGGACCGGCAUUGACGCUGAAGCGCGAAAGCUAGGGGAGCAACGGG